rnacentral:rRNA from 1 species
GACGUAGGGCGCGAGCGUUGUCCGGAUUUAUUGGGCGUAAAGAGCUCGUAGGCGGCUUGUUGCGUCGACCGUGAAAACCCGGGGCUCAACUCCGGAUCUGCGGUGGGUACGGGCAGACUAGAGUGAUGUAGGGGAGACUGGAAUUCCUGGUGUAGCGGUGAAAUGCGCAGAUAUCAGGAGGAACACCGAUGGCGAAGGCAGGUCUCUGGGCCGAUACUGACGCUGAGGAGCGAAAGCGUGGGGAGCGAACAGG